AUGUCAAAAGUUGCAGAAAAAAGACCAGAACGUUCAGGAAAAAACUUAACUGUAUCCAGCAAUUCAGAUAUAGCGAAAGUGAAGUCAAUGUUCCAGGAAGUUCUUCCAAAACAAAGGUAGUUGUCUCUGGAAGAUGGAACCACAGUGGUGGUAUGUAAACCCAAACUUUUACCCUUAAAAUCUCUGACUCUGGUAAAAUUAGAGAAAAUGCACCAAGCAGCACAGGAUACAAUUCGCCAACAAGAAAUGGCAGAAAAGGAACAAUGGCAAAUAACCCAC
rnacentral:lncRNA from 1 species